UACCGGGGGCGGGCCGAGCGACGCAGUCGGGACGGUAGCUGCGGCGCGGACCGGAGGAGCCAUCUUGUCUCGUUGCCGGGGAGUCAGGCCCCUAACUCGAAGAAGCCCUGGCGCGCCCUCCCCCCCUCCCCGGUCUGGUAGGGCGAAGGAGUGGGCGCGCGGUCGAUCGAGCGAUCGGUUGGCGGCUCUUUCUCCUGCUCUGGCAUCCAGCUCUUGGGGCGCAGGCCCGGCCGCCGCGGCGCGCGCCCGGUGGCCGUUGGCGCUCGCGCCGCGUCUUUCUUCUCGUACGCAGAACUCGGGCGGCGGCCUAUGCGUUUGCGAUUCGACGAGGAGUCGUCCGCGUGGUCGGUGGCGGGGGGCAGCUGCUCCGCCCCGCUCCGGGGGAGGCGGCGGCGGCAGCGGGUUUUGGCGCGGCCGGGGAGGCGGGGGUGGCCGGGGCCGGUCUGGAGGCCUGGCGCCACCCUUCCGGGCCUGCACGGACCCAGUUGGGGGGGCAGGAGGGGGCCGGAGGAUGGUUGGUGGUGGGCUUUCUACUUUGCCUUUUCCUCCUCAUGCCGCCUUAGUGAGGGGCGGGAGCUCUGGCGGCAGCUCCGGGGUGGGGAGAAGAGCUCCGGAGUCGGAAGACCUGAGUUUGCCUCCGGGCCUAGCCACCAGCUGGCCGAGUGACCUUAGGCAAGUCACUCUGUAAUUUGUCUGCGCCUCAGUUUCCUCUGCCUGUCAAUGUGUGUGGAAUUGAAAGCGCUUUGUAAACUACAAAGCGUUGGUGUAUGUAAAGGAUGAUUAUUGUUUGUGAUGUUUUUUUGAGUUGUAAGACAAUUUAGCAAUUGUCUAAUCCUUGCAUUUUGAACCUGGAAACCUUGGAUUGGAGUUGGAGCUUCCCAAACUCCCUGAAAUUGUAUGCGGAAAUUUGUGGGAAUGGUUAUUUUAGGGGAAUGAUGAUCCAUCGCUAGCAAGUUUUCAGUGGGGGAUGUGACGCAGAAGAGUUAAGAACCAUGAUUCUUUUAUGCCGCAGGGAGGAAACUGAGGCCUAGAUGUCAUUUGGGACCCUUCACAACCAAUUUGAAGCCCCUGUUUGAGUCCCUGGGAUAUGUGAGCUGUUUCUAUGCAUAAUGGAUAUUCGGGGUAACCACACUCCCCUGCUUGGCUUCUAUUUUGAAUUCUUUCUUUCACCAUGGGGUGCCUGAAGGGUGGCUGAUGCAUAUGGUACAAUGGCACCCAAUAUAAAGCAGCUACAAUUAGGCGUGGAUGUGUUCUCUAGUAUCAAGAAGCUUAUUUAAUCUUUGGUCCAGCAACUCUUUGUUUUGUGCUGCUUGUAUGGUGCCUGGCUACAUUUUUGACUCUUUGACCAUUUUCCACAACCAUGGUUGCCAUCCAUUACUUGCUCCUACUUUUUAUGCCUAGUCUGUGUGGUUGGUAGUGAACAGGCUUAUUUUUAAAUGAUGCUGCCAAGCCCAGCUAAUUAAUGGUGUGUGGAUUUUUAGCAAGUGGGCUCACUGGAACAGACUGAACCAGGCAUGGAAUUCCUGAAGAUGUUUGGGGCUUUUUUAUUAACUGAAGGUUAACAUUCUCUGGAGAGUUUUGUUAGAUCUCCUGCAGAACCUCAAAAUCAGUAGAUUUGGAAGUGGUUCAAAGCUUAAGUUUUUCCCAGCCUGCCUUGUAUUCUAAUUGCUUGCAAUUGUGAUACUAAGAUGGCCAAAAUGCCAGGUUUUGUUUCUUUGUUAAUUGUCAGCCGCUUUUAUCAAAUUCCAGGCCAUUAUCCAGCAAGCACUAAAAAUGUUUGAACAGUUGGAUUUCAAACAUUUUCAUUUUGUGGAGUGGUGCUUACCAAGUGGUACAGCUCUAAGCAAGUGAACACAAACACAUUUUAAGUGUAUUUUGUCUGAUUAGAUGUUAGCCAAUUUUACUAUUUCAUUCAAAUGUCUGAAAAAAAUCAAUGGACUAUGCCCUUUACCUAAAGAGCAGAGACAAAUAAUCUCACUUCCAGAGAAAUGACUGUUUUGGAGAAAAAUGUGUUGGUCUUUUAGCUCUUUUAUAAGUAAAUCUGGAUGUACCUCAAAAGAAUCUUAAGACUGUAGUGAUAAGAUGCUUUCCUCAGAAGAAAAGAGGCAAAAGACAACUGGAACUCAGAGCUUGAAAUUCUUUGUUAAAACAAGAUGUCCAGGACUGGAAGUUGAAAAAGUUUCACUACAGUGUUCUGCAAUAGUUCGAGCAGAUGUCUUUCAUUGUAGCCGCAGCUAUGGACUCCACAUUUCCGAGUUUUCAAGAACUAGACCUGGAACCUGAAAGAGCUUGUCAGGAUGUGACAAGAAGAACACUGAAGGUAGAUUAUUUUUUAUUUUUCAAUUUUGGGACUGUUGACCUUGCUGUGAGAAGAGAGGCAACGACUGAGCAAGCACUGCCACCAGCGCUGUUACUGGGAAUUAGAAGACCUGAGUUUUUGUCUAGACCCUCAGUGCAAACUGAGGAUGCUCCAUCCAAAGUGAAUUACGUCCUGUGCCUCCUGAUUGCUGAGUGUUCACCUGGACCUUCUGACUACCUUCCUUGUGCUAUUGCAUCAGCCUACAGAUCUGGUACCUGGAUUUUUGCCCAUGGUGAUUCCUGCCACCUUACUACUGAAGAAGAUACCAUUCCAGUGGACCACUGGUGACCCAAAAGACAUUCAGCCAUUAUUAUGUGGCCUUUACCUCCACUCCUGUCCUACCCAGCACAGCCCUUUGUAGUGAAGUCAGAGUCCUCGAGCCAAACAGCUGAAGCUACUUUAUCACAACAAAGGCCUAGUUUGUUCUAUGAGUCUGCAUUUCAUUUCUUCAAUUAAAGCCUUCAGAGACACACAAUAAAUUUGGACCAGGGGAUUUUUAGUUAUUAAUGCUGUCUGAAGAAA